rnacentral:tRNA from 1 species
GAGGGUAUAGCUCAGUGGUAGAGCGUGUGCUUGGAAUGCACGAGGUCCUAGGUUCAAUCCCCAGUACCUCUG